CAGGCUAGAAGUUUGCCGACAGAUAAGCUCAGGACUACUUAUGUGUGUUAAUGCCAUGAGAAGUUGCGGCUCUUCUGGAAACAAAGGGUAGUGAUUCUAAUUAAACAAUUAUGGACUACCAAGACCAAUGUAUCCAAAUUGUUGGAAUGGAGAAAAUGAACUUUAUUGUGUUGGGGCUUGCAAGAAGGGACCUGUAUAGAGCUAGAAUGGAUGCCCAGAAUACAGCGCAACACAUUUUCAAGCUAAUCUAAAAGAAAAUCACCAACUUUGAUCAAAACGUUACACUUUUAUUGAAUGGGAAGAUGAUGAAAUGAAUGAAUGUUUCAAGAUGGGCAAGAAAAGAAGAAGAGUGAGAAAAGUGCCAUUGAGAUUUCUUCAAAGAAAGCAAGCGUUUCUUUUUGACACAAUCAAGGCCACAACGAUCAUGGUUUGUGGGCAAGCCAUCAUUCAUCUGGAUUGCUACAUGAAGUUGAUCGACCAGGAACAAUAACAGUGUCCCAUGCUCAAGAUCAGUGUCUAAUACGUCCAAAACAUGGCAAAGAUUAGACCAAGAGUCUAGGGAAAGCGAGAAAUAAGUUGGUGUUUAACAAGUUGAAGAAGUCCGCAGAUUAAACAACGUAGAGCUUCAAGCACAAGCUUUUAAUUGGAUUAAACAUAACAUGUUGAUUUGGAAGGUCAAGAAUGGUGCAAAUGGUAUGAAAAUCCCGCAGGUGCUUUGAAUAAGUGUAUCACCAUUUGAUUGGCGUCAUGGGAGGCGCGAUUCCAACGAGAACUUUUUGUUAUGGAACAUCACGUAUUGUAUGAAUUUAUAGGGCUUGCAAGAGAUAAAAAUGAAGAACAUGGGAGGCUAUUUUUAAUGCGAUUUAGUUUUUUUUUCACGGAACAAUGUAUUUGUUUUCUUAAAUCGUCUUCUUUUAAGUAAUUUGAUGUAACUUACAGUCUCUUUUAUUGCCGAAUGCACUUUCAUAUAAAACUUCUUUUUGUC